rnacentral:misc_RNA from 1 species
GAGUUCGAGUCUCCUAACCUCCACUGACCGAACUUGAUUCCCAUCUCCAAUUUUUUUGGAGUUGAGCUCGAUUGGAGUGUGAUUUAGAUGUGUCCGCUGGAUGACCCCAGCUUCCUGUCAUUCCAAGUUUUAGAUUUUAAGUCUUGAAUUUGGUUGAUAAGAUGCUGGGCUCGGAUCAAAUGAUCAAGUAAUUGAUGAUUUGAUUUGAAGUUCUAGCA